AGUGAAUAAAGUGAAUCUUCAUAAAAAAAAAACUUGGGAGAUUUAAAUUGCCAAAUUAGGCCAUGUGCUGCUACAUGUCUAAUUCCAGUCAAAUUUACUGGCAACCAUUGACCGAGGUUUGACAUGGCAAGUUGACCAAAAGUCAGUUUUUUGACUGCCACAAUUAGAAGUACAGGUACUAAAUGAGAUUUGAGGUAAAGUACAUAAGCGCAAAGUGUAAUUUACCACAUUAAAAAUGCUUCAGCAUCAAUUAUGCACUUGGCUUCAUUUCCUGCUGUGAACACUUUGUAGGAUGAGAAUGCCUGCCAGUUGAGGAAAAAAUGGAAUAGAGAUUAUUCUUUUUCUUUUUCUUCCUCCGGCUCGGACUCGGAUUCAGCUUAUUCUUCAAAGGAAAAGGGCAGUAAAAAUGGAAAAUUGCAAAAUGAGUUUCAGAAGGUGACAGAUGACAUUAAGGAAGAACUUCAAGUGGCUGACUUGAAAAGGAAGUUGACAGAAACUACUGAAGAGCUUUUAGAAAUUCAUCCCCGUGAACUCAAGUUCAUAUUUGAAUUGAAGAAGCAGUCAACGUGCUCUGUUCGACUCUUCAAUAAGUCCAACAACCAUGUUGCGUUUAAGGUUAAAGCUACAUCUC